GCAUUGGUGCUCUACUGGUGAGCAUAGUUGCUUCCCAAGCAGUUGACCUGGGUUAGAUUCCCGUCCAAUGUC
rnacentral:tRNA from 1 species